rnacentral:lncRNA from 1 species
GUGUUUGCUCUUUAAGGGUUUCUACCUGUUUAGCUGUGUUGACCUGUAUUUCUUUAAGGGAUUUAUUUGUGUCCUUAAAGUCGUCUAACAUCCUCGUGAGAUGUGAUUUUAAAUCAGGAUCUUGCUUUUCUGUUGUGUUGGGGUAUCCUGGACUUGCUGUGGUAGGAAAACCCAGUUCUGAGGAUGCCAAGUAGUGUUGUUGUAAAAAUAUAAAAAUAAA